GAUGAACGCUGGCGGCGUGCUUAACACAUGCCAGUCGAACGAAGCAUUUGCGACAGAUUUUUUCGGAAUGAAGUUGCUUAUGACUGAGUGGCGGACGGGUGAGUAACGCGUGGGUAACCUGCCUUGUACUGGGGGAUAGCAGCUGGAAACGGCUGGUAAUACCGCAUAAGCGCACAAUGUUGCAUGACAUGGUGUGAAAAACUCCGGUGGUAUAAGAUGGACCCGCGUCUGAUUAGCUAGUUGGUGAGAUAACAGCCCACCAAGGCGACGAUCAGUAGCCGAGCUGAGAGGGUGACCGGCCACAUUGGGGCUGAGACACAGCCCAGACUCCUACGGGAGGCAGCAGUGGGGAAUAUUGCACAAUGGAGGAAACUCUGAUGCAGCGACGCCGCGUGAGUGAAGAAGUAAUUCGUUAUGUAAAGCUCUAUCAGCAGGGAAGAUAGUGACGGUACCUGACGAAGAAGCACCGGCUAAAUACGUG
rnacentral:rRNA from 1 species